rnacentral:rRNA from 1 species
GAUGAACGCUGGCGGCGUGCUUAACACAUGCAAGUCGAACGAAGCACUUUAUUUGAUUUCCUUCGGGACUGAUUAUUUUGUGACUGAGUGGCGGACGGGUGAGUAACGCGUGGGUAACCUGCCUUGUACAGGGGGAUAACAGUUGGAAACGGCUGCUAAUACCGCAUAAGCGCACAGCAUCGCAUGAUGCAGUGUGAAAAACUCCGGUGGUAUAAGAUGGACCCGCGUUGGAUUAGCUAGUUGGUGAGGUAACGGCCCACCAAGGCGACGAUCCAUAGCCGACCUGAGAGGGUGACCGGCCACAGUGGGACUGAGACACGGCCCAAACUCCUACGGGAGGCAGCAGUGGGGAAUAUUGCACAAUGGGCGAAAGCCUGAUGCAGCGACGCCGCGUGAGUGAAGAAGUAUUUCGGUAUGUAAAGCUCUAUCAGCAGGGAAGAUAAUGACGGUACCUGACUAAGAAGCACCGGCUAAAUACGUG